rnacentral:tRNA from 1 species
GGGCGAGUGGUCUAGCCCGGUUAUGAUACUGCCCUGACGUGGCAGUAGUGUCAUGCCGCGUGGUCCCCGGUUCGAAUCCGGGCUCGCCCACCA